rnacentral:rRNA from 1 species
AGGGUUCGAUUAUGGCUCAGGAUGAACGCUGGCGGCGUGCCUAACACAUGCAAGUCGAGCGAAGCGAUCGAGAUGAAGUUUUCGGAUGGAUUCCUGAUUGACUGAGCGGCGGACGGGUGAGUAACGCGUGGGUAACCUGCCUCAUACAGGGGGAUAACAGUUAGAAAUGACUGCUAAUACCGCAUAAGCGCACAGUACCACAUGGUACGGUGUGAAAAACUCCGGUGGUAUGAGAUGGACCCGCGUCUGAUUAGCUAGUUGGUGGGGUAACGGCCCACCAAGGCGACGAUCAGUAGCCGACCUGAGAGGGUGAUCGGCCACAUUGGGACUGAGACACGGCCCAA